UACGUAGGGACCGAGCGUUGUCCGGAAUCAUUGGGCGUAAAGAGCGUGUAGGCGGUGCGGUAAGUCACCUGUGAAAUCUCCUGGCUCAACUGGGAGCUUGCAGGCGAAACUGCCGUGCUGGAGUGUGGGAGAGGUGCGUGGAAUUCCUGGUGUAGCGGUGAAAUGCGCAGAUAUCAGGAGGAACACCUAUAGCGAAGGCAGCUCGCUGGGACGACACUGACGCUGAGACGCGAAAGCGUGGGGAGCGAACAGG
rnacentral:rRNA from 1 species